CCUACGGGAGGCAGCAGUGAGGAAUAUUGGUCAAUGGUCGGGAGUCUGAACCAGCCAAGCCGCGUGAGGGAGGACGGUCCUAUGGAUUGUAAACCUCUUUUGUCCGGGAGCAAAGGCCGGUACGCGUCUCCGGCUGAGUGUACCUGACGAAUAAGCAUCGGCUAACUCCGUGCCAGCAGCCGCGGUAAUACGGAGGAUGCGAGCGUUAUCCGGAUUUAUUGGGUUUAAAGGGUGCGUAGGCGGUCGGUUAAGUUCGGGGGGAAAUCCCGGGGCUCAAACCAGGCGUUGCCGGUGAUACUGGCGGGCUGGAGGGGGGGGGAGGUAGGCGGAAGGUACGGUGGAGCGGUGAAAUGCAUAGAGAGCAGACAGAACAACGAUUGCGAAGGAAGCUUACCGGAGGACGACUGACGGUGAGGCACGAAAGCGUGGGGAGCAAACAGGAUUAGAUACCCUAGUAGUC
rnacentral:rRNA from 1 species